GCUGGGCGUGGUGGCUCAUGCCUGUAAUCCCAACACUUUGGGAGGCCGAGGCGGGUGGAUCACCUGAGGUCAGGAGUUCAAGACCAGCCUGGUCAACAUGGUGAAAUCCCGUCUCUA
rnacentral:SRP_RNA from 1 species